AAAGUCUCUCACAAGACUUUGAUCUAGGAUGGCACUUCAUUCCUGCAGACCUGUGACAAGUCAUGGCAGUGUCCCCUGAGUCGAGCUCACAGCAUGCUCAGGGGCUGCCUCCUCUGCAGUGUCCUGUGUUACCUCCUCAGUGGCCCAAGUGCAGGACAUACCUAUGAGUCAGCAGUAAAGCACACACCAAGAGGAUGUGUGGAACCCUUCAAAUCUCAAGCUCAUUGUAUCUGUCUGCAACUGAAGACUCAGGAAGCCUUGGGAAAGAGCGUGCCUCUUGCUUGCUUUCCUGAUUUGAUCUUACCAAGGGGCCAUGGUGGAUCAUGAAAAUCUCCCUGCUCCCAACUGAGCAGUCACAGAGAAGCACUGGAUGUCCAUCUUCCUCCUUUGGCCUUGUCCUCAUUUGGAUACUGACCCUCUCCCCAGCACAGAUCGUCUCUCCUUUGCUUGACAUCCUUGGUAUGCAAAACAUGGCUCCUCUGUCCUGCUAUUGCAGAGUGGGACUGAGAAGUGCAGGUGCUUGGAGCCAUCCUGUUGCUUGCUUCUCAUCUCCUUGCAGUGUUCCCAUGCCCCAGUUUCCCAGGAAUGGAUGUGAAUGCAGCUGUUGGGAGAGUCGGUGCCCAUCUGCCUGGGUCGAAUGCUGCACUGGGAGCAACACUGCUGUUGCCUGUGGGGCAGAGCCAGGAUGUGAGUGAACACUUCAGAAUCAGGCUGGGGUGUGCAAGUUCAAGCACAGCUGAUGGUGCCAGGAAGUUCUGUGCUAAUGAAUGGCUACAAAGUUCUCUGCAAGCCCUUCAGAUGAAACACCCACAGGAGCACAGCGGAGGGUGCAGUCACCUCUCAAAGGACGCUGUGUGCUGCCAGCCAGGACCCGAAGGCUUUGCUGUGCUGGAUUCAGAUCAGAUACAGAGCUAUGGGUAUUUCUCCUGGGGAUGGGGCAAGGUUUUGCCUUCAGUCCUGGAAGUUGUGGGUCUAGCACUCAAUGGAGCCACACCAACGUCCCGGUCCCUGUCUCCGGGACGCAGAUGCAUUUACUUGGCACAAACCCUUCACAGCAUCAGUACAGGAGGAGAAGCCUCUGAUCUGACUCAACUCAGCCUCCAAGUCCCUGUCUGCAGUACACAUCUGCUGCUGAAUCUGGCACUGGAGCUGCUCAGUGUCCCUUGGCCUCCCUCCAUCCACGCAGCCGACAGCGCCCUGCUCCUCAGGCAGGACUCGCUUGCAAUCCCCUCUCACUCUGGAGCCCAGAAGUGAAGCAGAAGGUAGGAAAGCCAGGCUGGGGUCUGUCUCACUUUGGACCUUUUGCUCUGCCUGGAGGUGGUGGAAUCCAUGCCCAGCUCGGUCUGAGGCAAGAGCAGAUGCCUUUGUGACAGCCUCAGCAGGUGUCCUGAGCAAGCUGGGAGCAGUUUCUGUGUGGCAGCCCUAUCAGGGCUGUGGCAGUUUUGUUCCUGUCCCGAUGGGUUGCUCUGGUGAGAUGCCACAGCAUGGUGGGACAUGCUGGUUGCCAAGGACAGGGAUGUGCUGUGACAGAGAUGUCUCCUCAACUCCCCCAAAUUUGAAAGUGGUGCUUUAUUAACUAAGGAGAGCAAUAAAGUGCACAGAGUCGUUGUUCUGAGCA
ensembl:lncRNA